CACAGACAACCAGGAUGUUGGCUUAGAAGCAGCCACUCAUUCAAAGAGUGCGUAAUAGCUCACUGGUCGAGUGAUCCUGCGCCGAAGAUUUCCGGGGCUAAAACUUACUACCGAAGCUACGGCAUCAGUAAUGAUGGGUAGGGGAGCUUCCCAUACGGGUUGAAGCAUGACCGUAAGGACAUGUGGACAGUAUGGGAGUGAGAAUGUUGGCAUGAGUAGCGAGAUGUGGGUGAGAAUCCCACAGGCCGUAAACCCAAGGUUUCCAGGGGAAGGUUCGUCCGCCCUGGGUUAGUCGGGACCUAAGCUGAGGCCGAAAGGCGUAGGUGAUGGACAACAGGUUGAUAUUCCUGUACUACCGAUAACCGUUUGAGAGAUGGGAUGACACAGUAGGAUAAGCUAAGCACACUGUUGGUUAUGUGUGCCCAAGCAUUGAGGCAGUCAAAGUAGGCAAAUCCGCUUUGAUAAUGCUGGGAUGUGAUGGGGAGCGAAAUUUAGUAGCGAAGUAGCUGAUUUCACACUGUCAAGAAAAGUCUCUAUCGAGGUUAAAGGUACCCGUACCGCAAACCGACACAGGUGGGUGAGGAGAGUAUCCUAAGGCCAGCGAGAGAACUGUUGUUAAGGAACUCGGCAAAAUGACCCCGUAACUUAGGGAUAAGGGGUGCCACCAUCAGGUGGCCGCAGAGAAUAGGCCCAAGCGACUGUUUACCAAAAACAUAGGUUUCUGCUAAGUCGCAAGACGAUGUAUAGGAGCUGACGCCUGCCCGGUGCUGGAAGGUUAAGGGGAUCUGUUAGAGCAAUCGAAGCAGUGAACUUAAGCCCCAGUAAACGGCGGCCGUAACUAUAACGGUCCUAAGGUAGCGAAAUUCCUUGUCGGGUAAGUUCCGACCCGCACGAAAGGCGUAACGAUUUGGGCACUGUCUCAACAACAGACUCGGUGAAAUUGUAAUUCCGGUGAAGAUGCCGGAUACCUGCGACAGGACGGAAAGACCCCAUGGAGCUUUACUGUAGCUUGACAUUGGGUCUUGGUACUACAUGUACAGGAUAGGU
rnacentral:rRNA from 1 species